rnacentral:hammerhead_ribozyme from 1 species
GCUGAUGAGACCCAAACAGGUCGAAACAGCUGUCC